CGCUGGCGGCGCGCCUAACACAUGCAAGUCGAACGGAGCUGCACUUCUGAAGUUUCGGAUGGACGAGGUACAAGCUUAGUGGCGAACGGGUGAGUAACACGUGAAGAACCUGCCCUUCAGUGGGGGACAACAGUUGGAAACGACUGCUAAUACCGCAUAAGACCACAGUACCGCAUGGUACAGUGAUCAAAGGAUUUAUUCGCUGAAGGAUGGCUUCGCGUCCGAUUAGGUAGUUGGUGAGGUAACGGCCCACCAAGCCUACGAUCGGUAGCCGGACUGAGAGGUUGAUCGGCCACAUUGGGACUGAGACACGGCCCAGACUCCUACGGGAGGCAGCAGUGGGGAAUAUUGCACAAUGGAGGAAACUCUGAUGCAAGCGACGCCGCGUGAGGGAAGAAGGUCUUCGGAUUGUAAACCUCUGUCUUCAGGGACGAUAAUGACGGUACCUGAGGAGGAAGCACCGGCUAACUACGUGCCAGCAGCAGC
rnacentral:rRNA from 1 species